UACGUAGGGGGCAAGCGUUGUCCGGAAUCAUUGGGCGUAAAGAGCGUGUAGGCGGCCCGAUAAGUCCGCUGUGAAAGUCCAGGGCUCAACCCUGGAAUGCCGGUGGAUACUGUCGGGCUCGAAUCCGGAAGAGGUGAGUGGAAUUCCUGGUGUAGCGGUGAAAUGCGUAGAUAUCUGGAGGAACACCGGUGGCGAAGGCGGCGUUCUGGACUGCAACUGACACUGAGGGAACGAAAGCCAGGGGAGCAAACGGG
rnacentral:rRNA from 1 species